UUUUAAUAUAAUUGCAAUUAUACCUUCCUCAAAGUCAAAAUAUUCUAUAUGAAAGUGUAGCUUCACGGUCUAAUUGCCCAAGCUAAAAUUUCGUUCAUUUUAAUGAAUUGAUGGACUAUGUAUUCACAUUAGGAUGUUUCAAGUUAUUCCUGCCUUUUGACUAGAUUUUUAUUUCUAAAAACAUCAGAUUAGUCAUCAGAUUAAACCCAUGUUGAACUAGUAAAAGGUAAGCUUGCUUUACAUUUUUUGCUCUUUUUAUAUGAACUCCUUCAAUUACAAUCAUAAUCAUUCAAAAUUUGUAACUUUUGUACUAGGGCAUACUCAGUUUUAUCUAAUAUAUUAUGUGGUUCUAUAAUUCAUAUACACGAGGACAAAAAGGUUUGUACAAUUUUAUUAGCCCACUACACAUGAUCAUGAACAGAAUCUUGCUGGGGAUGGUCUUACAGCUGCUGUCCCUUUCCCGAGAUCUCAUUUAUUCAGCAGGGACAUAGUUGUGUUUGAUGUCCUUCCAAAGUUUCUGAUAAAAAGAACGAUAAUGAUAGUGUAAUGGUAUAUUAGCAGAAAAGCUGUAGUUCUUCCCCUUUUAUGCUCACCCCUUUGUUGAUUUCGCUGUACAAGUGCUCGGUGGCCAUGUCGAAACCUCGCUCGAAAAAGAAGGCGCCGGUCACAAUGGCCAAAGCGUACGUGGAAGAACGACGCAAAACGUUGUUGUACAGUUUAGCGACCAAAGACAUCGUGAAUUAUUAUUGAAUAUUGAAAAAUAAUGGAUUCAACAGCCCAGUGAACUGAUUAGAUCUAGUCGUGAAUUGGGACGAACAAGAAUGCACUGUGCAGACGAUGCACGUUCGGAAAAACAAUCGCGAAACGAAAGGCGAUAUUCAAAAUGGCGUCAUGCAUCAGCCUCUGAAGCGCUUCGUUUAAACAGGGGUAUAGUGUAUAGAGGGAUCCCUGUCCCUAUAUUCCCCUGGUUUAAAUAUGUGACUCAUCUAGAUAUUCAGGCUCCGAUGGUGGUGCCUCGCUGUAUGCCGGAGAAGGGUAGGCCAGUGGUGAGUGCACUUGUGGCUUGUAAACCGGUGAUUCUGUGUAAGCAGGAGUUUCAACACCUGUUGGAGUGUAGGCUGGAGAACUAUAAGCAGCUGAACCGGCUCCGCCUUCACAACCAGAAGUCGAACAAGCCAAUCCAUCUCCAACGUCUUAUUCUAGUUUUUGGCUUUUGUUCAGCGGAAUACAGUGGCAUCCUUUGCUGAUCGGUCUUCACAUUUGGCAAAAAUUAACCGCAAAAGGAUGGCAAGGAUACGUUGCCAAACCAGACACAUCCGCCUUAAUGACGAUUCGCCACAAUACACUGUAUGAUUGGGAACAGAGACAGCACAUUUUUCAGCAGAUAUAUAUGAUAUAUCUGCUAUGACAAGCAAUUCAAUAAUCGUGGUUCCAAAAACCUGAAAGGAACUCUUGAACGACGGCUACGAGAUCCCUAGCUUCUUAUUCUGAUUUAUCAAGCGAUUGUAUCACUUCACCGUAAACUGAAAGGUUAUCGGUUAAAUUUUGUCAUGUAAACCUUAAGAAAGCAUUCCUCGUAUUCAUAAUUAAAUUCAUGAUUCAUCGUUGGAAUAAAAGAGAAAUCGAAUACAGAAAUAAAUGAAACCGAGCACAGG
rnacentral:lncRNA from 1 species